GCCGGGCGUGGUGGUGCGCACCUGUAAUCCCAGCUACUCAGGAGGCUGAGGCAGGAGAAUUGCUUGAACCCAGGAGGCAGAGGUUGCAGUGAGCCAAGAUUGCUCCACUGCAAUCCAGCCUGAGUGACAGAGCGAGACUCAGUCUCAA
rnacentral:SRP_RNA from 1 species